rnacentral:lncRNA from 1 species
CCCUGUGUUACUUAAGUUAAUAUGGAAUAUGUGAUGGUAGAGUAUGAGUUUCUUAUUCUUGAUAUCAUUGUUGCUUGGAGAAUUUAUUUCAAAAUAUUCAAAAUUAUAGCUACCAUCCUCAGUGUUUUAUAUGCCUGAUAAAACUGAAAUAUUAAUUAUGAUUAUAAAAGCUAUCUGCUCUGUAUUGAGUUUGUCCAAAAUGAGUUAGACCCUUGUUGAGAGAUUUAUCAUGCUCCCAAGAUCAAGAUAUUAUUUCAGUAAGAUUCACUCUUCCGAAGUAUUAUUGCAUUAGAGGCAUGGGCUAUGCAAAAAUAGAAAUAUUUCGAGGAAAUAAAAAGGAGCAAGUGCUCGACAACCUCGCAGAAAAAAAUGGACAAGUGUCCGGCAGUAGAAUUAGGGGUACC